CAAAACAAAUGACUCUUGGUGAGCUUGCCGUUCAGCCAAAUGGGAGGACGCACGGUGCACCGCAUCCUGGCUGUGAGCGUUUGAUGAGCCAUGAGUGCAGGCAGCAUGUUCUACAAAAGGAUGGAUGGGGCCACUUAAGCCAGUGAGCCAGGUGAUUGAGGAAGACGCUGUCCGUGAAUAAUGAAACUCGGGUAAAUUGAUGAGAAGGGUCACAGGGCAUCACUUGAGUACUUCAGCAUCUGCUUGUGAAACCACACCAUGAAGAACCAGUCUUAGCAUUAGAAUACAAGCAGCAUCUGACCAGUCCACUACAGUCAUCAAACAACAGGAAGAAAAAGAUGACUGCCAAGCUUGUAAUUCUAGCACUCUGGAGUCCGAGCCACUUCCUGUAUCCUGGAAUUCUGCAGGCCCUGGGGAACCUGGGCAUCACCAGCUCCAGAACUUGUGGUUGUAACUGAGGACAGGGUGGAAGGUUCACAGCCACUAGGAGAGGGGACUAAAGAAACAGCCAGUCUAGGCCUUGGUUGGGGCAGUGAGCAGCUGAUGGAAACUCUGCAUCUACAGAUGAGUAUCCCUUGUGUGCCGGGACUUUCCCUCACCAGCUAGUUCCCCUCCACCAGCAUGGCUCUUCCUCAGGAUACCACGCUUUGUGUCCAGCCUCCAGCCCUGCUGAGCACAUCCCACACAGAGUCCUUGUGAGAACUCAGUCCUAAAGGCUUUUCAACCUCUGCACCCUCGAGCCCAUCCAUCACUACUAGCAUCCCUGUCUUGUACCCAGCUUCCCAUGUGCUCUCCCACGGGAAGGGACAGUAAAAGCUUCAUUUGCAACUCUUGGCUUCCUGACCUUCAGUCCUCGGCUCUAGCGGGCCACGGGACCUCUGACCCCUAGCCAAGCUUCCCUGAUCCAUGAUGCAUGGCCAGCGUCUUCAGAGACGACUAGGAGUCUCUCCUAUGACCAGCCACAGCUUGUGACUCCCCUAUUUGGCAUGUAAUCUCUUACAGAAAUCUGGAGACUCUACUCAUUCUCUCUUAACUCCCACCUUUAACCUCUGAACCAUUUCGGAGACACUUCCUGGUAUCUGCUCUGGUUUUGUUUGUUUGUUUGUUUGUUUGUUUGUUUGUUUGAUUUUGUUUUGUUGAGAUAGACUCUCCUGUAGACUAGGCUAGCCUCAAGCUUAGUAUUUAGCCAAGGAUAUCUCUGGAUUUCUGGUCUUCCUGAUUCUACUUCUUGAGUGCUAGAUCAUAGGCCCAGACCACCACACCCAGCUUAUGUGAUGUUCAGGACCGAUCCCAGGGCUCCGUGAGUGCUAGAUCCUCAACAGUUCCAGAUCCUCAGCCCUCCCUGACAUCUCUAGCAUCCACCUCUGCUUCGCCAUCACCAGUGUCCGAGUGGAAGCCCUUACUGCAGCUCUCCCCGGCCACUUCAAAAUAGCCAACCAGCAUACUGAGAGUGCCUUCCACACACCAAUCACCAGGGUUGGUGUCAUGCCCCACGCUGGUUUAGAGCUCAACACGUUGUCCUGGCUGGCCUUGAAUUUUCAAUCUUCCUGUCUCUGCUUCCUGAGUACUGGGCUUGCAAGGCCAUCAAUGUUAGUCCCUCCCCGAAGGCCUGCAUCUAUGGAGUGGCGCUCACGAGUGUCUCCAUCUAAGUCUGUGUUUCUAAGUCCUUCUUCCAAGAACCAGCCCCAGAAGGUGUCUGCCUCCCCACCCCCACCUCUGACAACCAUCGAAAGCUUCACAGUAAAUUCAUGGCUGCCUGGCUGGGAAACAGGCGGCGGCAAUGGAAAGGAAGCGUGGAUUUGCAUAUUGAAUUAAAAUUAAGAGCUAAUUAUGCAAAUAAAUUAUGACAUUUGGCAGGAGA
rnacentral:lncRNA from 1 species